rnacentral:rRNA from 2 species
GUCUUUUAAUUGAAGUCUGGAAUGAAUGGUUUGAUGAAAAAUUUACUUUCUUUAUUUUAAAUAAAUAAUUUAAUUUUUUAAUUAAAAAGUUAAAAUUUUAAUAGAGGACGAGAAGACCCUAUAGAACUUUAUUUUUAUGAAAAAGAUAGUAUUUUGAUAAUGAAUUUUUAUCUUUUUUUAGGAAUUUUGUUGGGGUGAUGGAAAAAAUUAUUUAACUUUUUUUUGUUUUAUCAUUAAUUUAUGAUUUUUUUGAUCCUUUUUUAUGGAUAAAAAGAUUAAGUUACCUUAGGGAUAACAGCGUUAUUAUUUUAGAAAGUUCAUAUUGAUAAAAUAGUUUGCGACCUCGAUGUUGGAUUAAAAUAAGUUUCAGGAGUAGAAUAUUGAAUAUCUAGGUCUGUUCGACCUUUAAAUUUUUACA